AGAACGAACGCUGGCGGCAGGCUUAACACAUGCAAGUCGAACGCGUGUAGCAAUACACGAGUGGCGCACGGGUGAGUAACGCGUGGAUAUCUGCCUUUUGGUUCGGAAUAACCCCGGGAAACUGGGGCUAAUACCGGAUAGUUCCUUCGGGAUAAAGAUUUAUCGCCAAAAGAUGAGUCCGCGUACGAUUAGCUAGUUGGUGAGGUAAUGGCUCACCAAGGCGACGAUCGUUAGCU
rnacentral:rRNA from 1 species